ACACCUGCUGGUCUCACCGCUAGGGCCUGGGCAUCACAGGCAGGGGGAAUGGGGAGGGGACGGUAGCGUCAGCCUACACCCACACGCAGUUUCCUGAUAAAAGGUCCUUUGGAAACUUUGAUUCUCUUCUCACCAAGUUGAACGGAGAUGUGUUCCCAUAGUAAGAGUGAGGCCCCUGCAUUUGCUGCCCUCGGUUUUCCCAACUAACACCAGGGCCUCCCCCCUGUACCCCAUUCAUAUGCCUCAGAAGCUGACAAUGACUGUUGGGCUUUUCCAAUGAAUACCAGAACACCAUUUCCUGCAGCCUGAAAAGAAGACAGUAUAAUUGUUUGGCAGCAAGAGACAGGAUCUCGCUGCGUUGCUCAGACUGGUCUCGAACUCCUGGGCUUAAGGGAUUCUCCUGCCUCAAUCACAGCCUCCCAAGUAGCUGAGAUUAAAAGUGCUCACCACCGUGCCAGCGAGUUCAGUUUUUGAGAUCUGUCCCAUUCCACCAAGGAUUUAAGGCUAAAGAUUUAAGUUGUGAAGAUGAUAAUGGAUUGACUCUAUGAAUGGCCACAUUUUUUUAUGCCUCCCUUUUCCCUUGUCCUCGGGCAGUGUCCUCCGACACUGACUCUGUGCUUGGCCCUGUGACUUGCUUUGGCCAAUGGUACAGCAGCAAACUUGAUGCAAACACAACUUGAAAAAGAAGAGGACAGCCAAGUCAUCCCAGCCAAGGCCACCCUGGACCAGCCAGCCUCUUGCCAAGCUGCCAGUGACCACAGAGUCCAAUUAACAACAGCCAGUCCUGGCCCAGGCCAAGCUCAUAUGCCAAUUUCCUCAUGGAACCUUUCACUCCUCCAUCUCUUCGCCAAGUUGAAAUGUUAACUUCUGCUUCUCUGGGAUACUUCGGACCUUUGUUUAAAGCUCUCCCAUCUGCUUUCUGCGCUAUGUUUAGGGUUAUGUCUGGAUGGGAAUAGGUCUGUCUCUUGCCACUACUGGUAAAAUUGGUUCUUGCUUAGCAUGAUGUGGGCUCCCCACAUCUGGCACAGUGACUUGCGCAGGGUGGAGCCAAGACUCUGAGGAGAGGGCUGAACUGUGAACCUAGAAGUACCAUCUCCCCCUGCACACACCUUUGGUCAAGUUGACCCCAAGAAGAAGGACAAGUCCUCUGCACGGCGAUGAGGCCAUACACACAGUCUGUGGCCCGGCUUUGGGAGACUGAUGGGACAAAGGAUGUUUUGCACGAUCCUUGGUCUCUGAGCAAAUAUAUACAUGGGUUAACACAAA
rnacentral:lncRNA from 1 species